rnacentral:rRNA from 1 species
CCUACGGGGGGCUGCAGUGAGGAAUAUUGGUCAAUGGGCGAUGGCCUGAACCAGCCAAGUAGCGUGAAGGAUGACUGCCCUAUGGGUUGUAAACUUCUUUUAUAAAGGAAUAAAGUCGGGUAUGCAUACCCGUUUGCAUGUACUUUAUGAAUAAGGAUCGGCUAACUCCGUGCCAGCAGCCGCGGUAAUACGGAGGAUCCGAGCGUUAUCCGGAUUUAUUGGGUUUAAAGGGAGCGUAGAUGGAUGUUUAAGUCAGUUGUGAAAGUUUGCGGCUCAACCGUAAAAUUGCAGUUGAUACUGGAUGUCUUGAGUGCAGUUGAGGCAGGCGGAAUUCGUGGUGUAGCGGUGAAAUGCUUAGAUAUCACGAAGAACUCCGAUUGCGAAGGCAGCCUGCUAAGCUGCAACUGACAUUGAGGCUCGAAAGUGUGGGUAUCAAACAGGAUUAGAUACCCCGGUAGUC